GAAUGACUCCUCCCGAAUUGCUUAUCACUGUUUACGUAUAACAUAUAAAGAAUCCGCUUCGACAUUCUCUCAGACAGGUGAUCGGCGACGCUGGAAAUGGCGAAUGGAAGCGGCGGUGGCGACGGCGACGCUAGGGAUUUGGGACGAAGAAGGAUGCAGUAAGAGCAUUCUCCAGGAGUGGCAGCUCCGAUCUCGAACUGUCUUUCGGACCGCCUUCGUCCCGUCCCAAAACCCUAACCCUGAAACCCUCGUCCUCGCCGCCUCCAGCGACGGUUCCAUCGCCACCCUCUCAGUGUUUGGUAAAAACAAACAUGAAAUCAUCUCAACAUGCGAGGACAGGAAGUAUCCAGCGACAUUUCUUGCAUUGAUGGCAUUGCCCUUUUCUAAAGCAGGUGGAUAGAUAGGGUCUUCAACCAAAAUGUCAGGAUUAUAUGUGGCCCUUUACUGGCGGAGCCAUGUUGUAUCAUUUGGGACACAAGGGCUCUGCAUCUGGUUAACACGGAUCCCAUAUUGGUAUAAACCUGAAUGCAAAAAUGAGAUUGGUACACAUGUUAGUUGUUUCAUUUUUCUGAUUGGUUUGCUUUGUUUGUUAAAAAGAGCAUCACUUGGUUGGUUGUGUACGUUAAUUUAUCUUAAACCGUGAGAUGCAAUUUUACUUAGAUGGUAUACACCAACUGGUACUUAUUGAUUCGAGAAUGAACCGAAAGCGGUCCACAAGUGGUCUUGUGCCACAUAGGAACCACCAAAAUGGGGCAGUCCACAUGUGGGUAGGUUGUACAUAGUGACCCUCCCCCAAGCCCCAUCUUGGUAGGAGCCUAUUGUAUCUAACAUCCAUCCUUUACAAAUACGAUAAGUACUUGAAAGAUUUAUGUUUCAUAGGUCAUACAUGUGUCUUAGAGUAUGUUAUGAAGUAUCCAACAAGUGUCAUACUUUGAUGGGUAUGCAAUGAAAAUUUUGGCGUGUCCGUGUUCAUAGGUGUACCUUUGACCGACCACACACAAACUCUACAUUGGAUGGAGCCUCAAGUUCUGGGUUGCAUUUUCAGUUUCUUUGAAAAGUGGUGCCAAAACAAUUUUCUGGGUUGAAAUUCAGAGAAACAAUAUAUCAGGUUAAACUUAGCGCUAUCUCAGAAUGAUUUUAAAGUAUUUCAGGAUGUUAUAAUUAUCUUGUAAAUAAUUAAUGCUGCUGGUGGAUGUCAAUGAGUUCCUUCUUUCUGGAAUAUUCUGCUUCAAUAUGUAUCUCCCUUAUGAAUAUACUAGUUUUGUUUGGAUUCAUUAAUUCACACUAAAGUAGUAUAUGGCACGCAUCUUGUUUUACUUCUGAACUGUGCUGCAAUCUUUCCUUUUUAAAUAACAAAAAUCGUAGUCUUCUGUAUUAGAUUUCCCCUUUGAGGCUUGUGAUACUGGUUCCAGGUUAUCAGUUUGGAAUCUGCUAUCUUGUGAAUGUGUUUGUAGUAUAAACAGUCAUGCACGGUGCAAGAUUUACUGAUUGAUGAUGACCAAGUAAGUUCAUGCAACUAUAGAUAUAUGCUCAAACUGACACAUCGUUCGCCUUUUACCCCAUAUCUAUCAUGAGACACCUGCCAAGAGAAUGAAUUCCCUAUUGCUGUGUGCUUGCUUGACCACUGGUCCACCAUCGAAGAUUCUUGCUACCGCUUGGAUUGCUGCUGACGCUGGUCUUCUCCUAUCUGUGUGUCUGAUCCGUUGAUCUGCCUGAAUAUGCCACCACAAUUGGGUGGUCUCAUUGAGGUGGCACACAAAAGUCUCAUCCGGAGAAAUCCUGCAUGCCAUUCACAACAUGAACCACGGUCUGCACACCACCAGUUUCAAUGGAGUUUCUCAACAAAUGGAAUUGGCUCCUCAUUCGGCAUUUUCUGUUUCCCUUUGCCCUCCUGGAGUUACAGACAUGGUGGCCAUGGAGCGAGCAAUGUCUAUAAGGUAUUCAUUCAGGUUACAGACAUCGGUGUGGCCAUGGAGCUCCUCUGGGGGAUGCCCUUACGCUUAUCACAAUAUAGCUUGGAUAAGUAAACAUGACAAAUGACACUUUCAGAAUCCUAUCCUCUGGUUGGUCAUUUUACCAAAAGUCUAGACUUUUGGAUUCCUUUGUGUGGAACCCAAUCACAUUGGCAACUUCUAAUAAGAUUGCCACCAUUUGGACAGAGUUGGAGACUUGGGAACAAAGAGCAUAUCAACGUAAGGGUAUAAA